ACUGUGCCGGGAGGCAACGAUGCUCGUCUUCGAUUCGGUCACCUCAUGAGACGAGUGGAGCCAGUGGUGAGACCGCCCCGAGGGAGG
rnacentral:ncRNA from 1 species